GGUGCUACAAGAAAAUUCAAGGGGAAUCUUCCGAAAUGUGGCGGAGGGUGAUUAACGCGUGCUUUCUCAGGAUCUAGGUCGGGGACAACAGUUGGAAACGACUGCUAAUACCGGAUGUGCCGAGAGGUGAAAGAUUUAUUGCCUAGAGAUGAGCUCGCGUCUGAUUAGCUAGUUGGUGUGGUAAGAGCGCACCAAGGCGACGAUCAGUAGCUGGUCUGAGAGGACGAGCAGCCACACUGGGACUGAGACACGGCCCAGACUCCUACGGGAGGCAGCAGUGGGGAAUUUUCCGCAAUGGGCGAAAGCCUGACGGAGCCAGACCGCGUGAGGGAAGAAGGCCCUUGGGUUGUAAACCUCUUUUCUCAGGGAAGAAGAAAGUGACGGUACCUGAGGAAUCAGCCUCGGCUAACUCCGUGCCAGCAGCCGCGGUAAUAAUCUAU
rnacentral:rRNA from 1 species